AACGAACGCUGGCGGCAGGCUUAACACAUGCAAGUCGAGCGCCCCGCAAGGGGAGCGGCAGACGGGUGAGUAACGCGUGGGAAUCUACCCAUCUCUACGGAAUAACUCAGGGAAACUUGUGCUAAUACCGUAUACGCCCUUCGGGGGAAAGAUUUAUCGGAGAUGGAUGAGCCCGCGUUGGAUAAGCUAGUUGGUGGGGUAAAGGCCUACCAAGGCGACGAUCCAUAGCUGGUCUGAGAGGAUGAUCAGCCACAUUGGGACUGAGACACGGCCCAAACUCCUACGGGAGGCAGCAGUGGGGAAUAUUGGACAAUGGGCGCAAGCCUGAUCCAGCCAUGCCGCGUGAGUGAUGAAGGCCUUAGGGUUGUAAAGCUCUUUCACCGGAGAAGAUAAUGACGGUAUCCGGAGAAGAAGCCCCGGCUAACUUCGUGCCAGCAGCCGCCGUAAUAC
rnacentral:rRNA from 1 species